rnacentral:lncRNA from 1 species
AGGCCUUUCUGGACCUCGCCUGACUCGGAUGGGCUGUGCCUGAAAUUGACCCAGCUCCACUAGGGAUUAUGAAGAAACAAGGAGUAAACCCAAAGCCGCUGCAAUCUUCCCGCCCCAGCCCGUCUAAGCGGCCGUACGGGGCCUCCCCCGCCCGGGAGCUGGAGGUGGAAAAGUCGGCCCUAGGCGGCGGGAAACUGCCAGGGGGCGCCAGGAGGUCCUCCCCGGGGAGGAUCCCAAAUCUGAAAAAGCGAAAAGGCUUGGAGCUAAAGGUGGUGGCCAAGACCCUUCUCGACCCCUUCCAGUUCGUCCGUAAUUCCCUGGCGCAGCUCCGGGAAGAGGUGCACGAACUGCAGGCGCGGUGGUUCCCCAGCAGAACCACUCUCAGCAUCGGGACUUUAUUAUUCCUACUUCAAGACCAUCAUUGAAGCACCUUCAUUUUUGGAAGGACUGUGGAUGAUUAUGAAUGACAGGCUUACUGAAUAUCCUCUUGUAAUUAAUACAGUAAAACGCUUCCAUCUUUAUCCAGAGGUAAUCAUAGCUGCCUGGUAUCGCACAUUCAUAGGAAUAAUGAAUUUAUUUGGACUAGAAACUAAGACCUGCUGGAAUGUCACCAGAAUAGAACCUCUUAAUGAGUUCAAAGCUGUGAAGGCAUGUUUCCUCCAAAAAUGCUGUCAUUUGUAAACAUUCAUAAACAUUUAAUAAUAUUAUGAUUCACUUUUAAGAAUUAUUGUAAAAUUCUGUUGUUGAUUUAAAAAACAUUAGAACUGACUCACCUCAAUGAGUAUUUUUACAUUUUAAAGUAGUUUUCUGAGAAGGCUGUGUACUUAAAAAUUUGAGUAUAAAUUUUGGAAUUUGAGUAUUAACGUAUCCCAUUGUAAGGCAAUCUUGACUAUAAGUUAGUCUUCUAUUUCAGAAUGAGAAGAUACAGAAAGAUGUUUUUUGGGGUAGCUUCAAUAUAUAAAUUUUGAGGAUACAUUAAAUAGUCAAAUAUCUAUUUGUAAUAGCUAAUGUAUAAAUUUAAUUAUGCAUACAUAUUUGAAAAUUGGAUAUGCCAUAAUAGAUUGAUUUAGAAAUAUUACUUUUUUAUAUAUGCUCAUAGUCCAUGAGUAGUAUUAAUAAAACUCUUCCUAUUUAUCUUCUA